GACGAACGCCGGCGGCGUGCCUAAUACAUGCAAGUAGAACGCUGAAGAGAGGAGCUUGCUCUUCUUGGAUGAGUUGCGAACGGGUGAGUAACGCGUAGGUAACCUGCCUGGUAGCGGGGGAUAACUAUUGGAAACGAUAGCUAAUACCGCAUAAUAUUGACUAUUGCAUGAUAGUUGAUUAAAAGGUGCAAUUGCACCACUACCAGAUGGACCUGCGUUGUAUUAGCUAGUUGGUGGGGUAACGGCUCACCAAGGCGACGAUACAUAGCCGACCUGAGAGGGUGAUCGGCCACACUGGGACUGAGACACGGCCCAGACUCCUACGGGAGGCAGCAGUAGGGAAUCUUCGGCAAUGGACGGAAGUCUGACCGAGCAACGCCGCGUGAGUGAAGAAGGUUUUCGGAUCGUAAAGCUCUGUUGUAAGAGAAGAAACGAGUGUGAGAAGUGGAAAG
rnacentral:rRNA from 1 species